AUCUGGUCACGUAGGAGUAGACAGCUAGACUACAGGGCGGCGGAACGUACUCUCUGUCUAGGUCUUCUCAUUUCUUCUCCCCACCCACCUCGCUUCCUCCGCCGCACACAGGAGAGGAUUCGUGCCCCAUCGAAAUGGAUUUGGUGUGCGACGUGUGUGGAGACUCAGGCUUCACAAGCACUCUGCUGCUCUGCCGCAACUGCAAGAACACCGCCAGGCACCGAUAUUGCUUUGAUAAGGUGAUUUUUGAUCCUGUGCGAGAGUGGUUGUGCAAUGCCUGCCAGCCACGCAUUCCGAUACUCAUGGAACUGCCUUUUGUCACGC